GCAGUAGCCACGGUAAUACGUAGGGUGCAAGCGUUAAUCGGAAUUACUGGGCGUAAAGCGUGCGCAGGCGGUUAUAUAAGACAGAUGUGAAAUCCCCGGGCUCAACCUGGGAACUGCAUUUGUGACUGUAUAGCUAGAGUACGGCAGAGGGGGAUGGAAUUCCGCGUGUAGCAGUGAAAUGCGUAGAUAUGCGGAGGAACACCGAUGGCGAAGGCAAUCCCCUGGGCCUGUACUGACGCUCAUGCACGAAAGCGUGGGGAGCAAACAGGAUUAGAUACCCCAGUAGUCCCUGUCUCUUAUAC
rnacentral:rRNA from 1 species